UAACGUUAAUGUUUCAUUGUGAAACUGUACUACAAAAAAUUCGGGCAUUUGUACAGUCUAUGUACGUUGUACUGUCUAACUUACAUGCUUAUCCUUGCUAAGUCAU